GUUUGAGCUGCUUAGCUGCUUAUGAUGAUCCAUGAUGUUUCUGUGCAGUCUCUGGUUCUUUCUUCUCUUUUCAGGUGAUGCAAGUGGUGAAGGAAUAGCUCCUCUUUUCUCAUCUAAACGUGUAAUCAAUGGUGACUCCAUUAUUUUGACCUGCAAUUACAAUGGGUCCUACAACAGUGAUUCUCUCCUGUGGUAUCGUCAAUACAGCAGCUCCAAACCAGAGUUUUUGUUUUUGGUUAGUGAAGCCAAUCUUGAGCAGCCAGCUGACCCUCCAAUUCCUGGAGUGUCUGCUAAAAUAAAUGAGGAGAAAAACCGUGUGGAUCUGGAGAUCUCUUCCGUUUUAGUAUCAGACUCUGCGAUGUACUACUGUGCCCUGAAGCCCACAGUGACAGGAAACACCAAAACACUGCACAAAAUGAAGGGGAAAACAAAUAAACGAACAACCUGA